rnacentral:rRNA from 1 species
GGGGGGCCUAAUACAUGCAAGUCGAAGCUGGACAAGAAAGGGAACUUUGCCUCCCGGAUGUUAGCGGCGGACGGGUGAGUAACACGUGGGUAACCUGCCUGUAAGACUGGGAUAACUCCGGGAAACCGGAGCUAAUACCGGAUAGUUCCUUGAACCGCAUGGUUCAAGGAUGAAAGACGGUUUCGGCUGUCACUUACAGAUGGACCCGCGGCGCAUUAGCUAGUUGGUGAGGUAACGGCUCACCAAGGCGACGAUGCGUAGCCGACCUGAGAGGGUGAUCGGCCACACUGGGACUGAGACACGGCCCAGACUCCUACGGGAGGCAGCAGUAGGGAAUCUUCCGCAAUGGACGAAAGUCUGACGGAGCAACGCCGCGUGAGUGAUGAAGGUUUUCGGAUCGUAAAGCUCUGUUGUUAGGGAAGAACAAGUGCAAGAGUAACUGCUUGCACCUUGACGGUACCUAACCAGAAAGCCACGGCUAACUACGUGCCAGCAGCCGCGGUAAUACGUAGGUGGCAAGCGUUGUCCGGAAUUAUUGGGCGUAAAGGGCUCGCAGGCGGUUUCUUAAGUCUGAUGUGAAAGCCCCCGGCUCAACCGGGGAGGGUCAUUGGAAACUGGGAAACUUGAGUGCACAAGAGGAGAGUGGAAUUCCACGUGUAGCGGUGAAAUGCGUACAGAUGUGGAGGAACACCAGUGGCGAAGGCGACUCUCUGGUCUGUAACUGACGCUGAGGAGCG